AUUGGAGCAGUAGAAACUGUGGGGCAAUCGAAGUGGUGUGUGGGUGCCAAAAGCGCUAUUUAAUUUUACGACAGAUACAUUUAUGCUUAUUACUUGUGUUGCUUUUACGUCUAAAAUAUGUCUACGAUGCGGUCAUAAUGGAUAUGCAUGUGUGUUACUGCGGUGUGAUGCGUGAUUGUGUGCUUACAACUAGUUUCCGAUACAGUAUAUAGUAUGUAUAUAGUAUAAUAUAUGUAAUUUAGC
rnacentral:sRNA from 1 species